AUUGAACGCUGGCGGCAGGCCUAACACAUGCAAGUCGAACGAGUGGCGGACGGGUGAGUAAUGUCUGGGAAACUGCCCGAUGGAGGGGGAUAACUACUGGAAACGGUAGCUAAUACCGCAUACCAUCGGAUGUGCCCAGAUGGGCUUAGCUAGUAGGUGGGGUAACGGCUAACCUAGGCGACGAUCCCUAGCUGGUCUGAGAGGAUGACCAGCAACACUGGAACGGAGAAACGGUCAAGACUCCUACGGGAGGCAGAAGUGGGGAAUAUUGCAAAAUGGGCGCAAGCCUGAUGAAGCAAUGCGGCGUGUAUGAAGAGGGCCUUCGGGUUGUAAAGUACUUUCAGCGAGGAGGCGUUACUCGAAGAAGAAGCAACGGCUAACUCCGUGCCAGCAGCCGCGGUAAUUC
rnacentral:rRNA from 1 species